rnacentral:rRNA from 1 species
AUUGAACGCUGGCGGCAGGCCUAACACAUGCAAGUCGAGCGAGCGGCGGACGGGUGAGUAAUGUAUGGGGACUGCCCGAUAGAGGGGGAUAACUACUGGAAACGGUAGCUAAUACCGCAUACUAUCGGAAAACCCAUAUGGGAUUAGCGAUUAGGUGAGGUAAUGGCGCACCUAGGCGGCGAUCCCUAGCUGGUCUGAGCGGGUGAUCAGCCACCAUGGGACUGCGACACGGCCCAGAGUCCUACGGAGGCAGCCGUGGGGAAUAUUGCACGAUGGGCGCAAGCCUAAUGCAGCCAUGCCGCGUGUAUGAAGAAGGCCCUAGGGUUGUAAAGUACUUUCAGUCGGGAGGCGUUACCGACAGAAGAAGCACCGGCUAACUCCGUGCCAGCAGCCGCGGUAAUUC